rnacentral:rRNA from 1 species
AUUGAACGCUGGCGGCAUGCCUUACACAUGCAAGUCGAACGGUGACAGGUCUUCGGAUGCUGACGAGUGGCGAACGGGUGAGUAAUACAUCGGAACGUGCCCGAUCGUGGGGGAUAACGCAGCGAAAGCUGUGCUAAUACCGCAUACGAUCUACGGAUGAAAGCGGGGGAUCGCAAGACCUCGCGCGGACGGAGCGGCCGAUGGCAGGUUAGGUAGUUGGUGGGGUAAAGGCUCACCAAGCCUGCGAUCUGUAGCUGGUCUGAGAGGAGGACCAGCCACACGGGGACUGGGACACGGCCCAGACUGCUACGGGAGGCAGCAGUGGGGAAGUUUGGACAAUGGGCGAAAGCCUGAUCCAGCCAUGCCGCGUGCAGGAUGAAGGCCUUCGGGUUGUAAACUGCUUUUGUACGGAACGAAAAGUCUCCUUCUAAUAAAGGGGGAUCAUGACGGUACCGUAAGAAUAAGCACCGGCUAACUACGUGCCAGCCGCCGCGGUAA